GAUGAACGCUGGCGGCGUGCCUAAUACAUGCAAGUCGAGCGAACAGACGAGUAGCUUGCUCCUCUGACGUUAGCGGCGGACGGGUGAGUAACACGUGGAUAACCUACCUAUAAGACUGGGAUAACUUCGUGAAACCGGAGCUAAUACCGUAUAAUAUAUUGAACCUCAUGGUUCAAUAGUUAAAGACGGUUUUGCUGUCACUUAUAGCUGUAUCCUCGCCGCAUUAGCUAGUUGGUAAGGUAACGGCUUACCAAGGCGACGAUGCGUAGCCGACCUGAGAGGGUGAUCGGCCACACUGGAACUGAGAGACGGUCCAGACUCCGACGGGAGGCAGCAGUAGGGAAUCUUCCGAAAUGGGCGAAAUACUGACGGAGCAACGCAGCGUGAGUGAUGAAGGUCCUCGGAUCGUAAAACUCUGUUAUUAGGGAAGACCAAAUGUGGAAGUAACUAUGCACGUCUUGACGGUACCUAAUCAGAAAGCAACGGCUAACUACGUG
rnacentral:rRNA from 1 species